rnacentral:rRNA from 1 species
GACGGGGGCUGCAAGCGUUAUCCGGAAUGAUUGGGCGUAAAGCGUUCGCAGGUGGCUGUUCAAGUCUGCUGUCAAAGACCGGGGCUUAACCCUAGAAAGGCAGUGGAAACUGGACGGCUGGAGUGCAGUAUGGGUAGAGGGAAUUCCCAGUGUAGCGGUGAAAUGCGUAGAGAUUGGGAAGAACACCGGUGGCGAAAGCGCUCUGCUGGACUGCAACUGACACUGAGGGACGAAAGCUAGGGGAGCGAAAGGG